CAGGGCUGCUUUGUAUCCCCAGUCCGGCCCUGCAGCAAGCACCUCACUGUGCUAAUCAAUAUCUUCUCAUAGAAAUGCAUUCUAGCUAUGAAUUUCAGUGGGGAGUGUUGAGUCUUGCAAAGAUUGCAGGUACGUAUUAGGAAGUACCUCUAGUGGCUACCUGAGUAAUACUAGUGGAGGUGUUCUUAGGAACAAAUGUAC